rnacentral:rRNA from 1 species
CAAUAGCGUAUAUUUAAGUUGUUGCAGUUAAAAAGCUCGUAGUUGGAUUUCGGGUGGGACGCAGCGGUCUCGCAUUGCGUUUGUACUGCUGCAGCCCUCCUUCUUGCCGGGGGCGGCCUCUCGGACUUCACUGUCUGGGGGUCAGAAUCGGCGAUGUUACUUUGAGUAAAUUAGAGUGUUCAAAGCAAGCUUACGCUCUGAAUAUAAUAGCAUGGGAUAACACGACAGGACUCUGGCCUAUCGUGUUGGUCUAUAGGACCAGAAUAAUGAUUAAGAGGGACAGUCGGGGGCAUUCGUAUUCCGUUGUCAGAGGUGAAAUUCUUGGAUUUACGGAAGACGAACAUCUGCGAAAGCAUUUGCCAAGGAUGUUUNCAUUAA